GAUCAUGGCUCAGGACGAACGCUGGCGGCGUGCCUAACACAUGCAAGUCGAACGAACGAAGUCCUUCGGGGACCGAGUUAGUGGCGGACGGGUGAGUAACGCGUGAGCAACCUGCCUUUCAGAGGGGGAUAACGUUUGGAAACGAACGCUAAUACCGCAUAACAUAUAUCUGCGGCAUCGCAGGGAUAUCAAAGGAGCAAUCCGCUGAAAGAUGGGCUCGCGUCUGAUUAGAUAGUUGGUGGGGUAACGGCCUACCAAGUCGACGAUCAGUAGCCGGACUGAGAGGUUGAACGGCCACAUUGGGACUGAGACACGGCCCAGACUCCUACGGGAGGCAGCAGUGGGGGAUAUUGCACAAUGGGCGCAAGCCUGAAUGCAGCAACGCCGCGUGAGGGAAGACGGUUUUCGGAUUGUAAACCUCUGUUCUUGGUGAAGAAGAAAGUGACGGUAGCCAAGGAGAAAGCCACGGCUAACUACGUGCCAGCCGCUGC
rnacentral:rRNA from 1 species